rnacentral:rRNA from 1 species
UUCCGGUUGAUCCUGCCGGACCUGACUGCUAUCGGAUUGAUACUAAGCCAUGCGAGUCUUUGUAGUAAUACAAGGCGUACGGCUCAGUAACGCGUAGUCAACCUACCCUAUGGAUGGGGAUAAUCUCGGGAAACUGAGCAUAAUACCCAAUAGAUCAUCAAUUCUGGAAUGGUUGAUGAUUCAAAUGAUUUUUCGCCAUAGGAUGGGACUGCGGCCUAUCAGCUUGUUGGUGAGGUAAUGGCCCACCAAGGCAAUUACAGGUACGGGCUCUGAGAGGAGAAGCCCGGAGAUGGGUACUGAGACAAGGACCCAGGCCCUAUGGGGCGCAGCAGGCGAGAAAACUUUGCAAUGUGCGAAAGCACGACAAGGUUAAUCCGAGUGAUUUCUGCUAAAGGAAUCUUUUACCAGUUCUAAAAAUACUGGCGAAUAAGGGGUGGGCAAGUUCUGGUGUCAGCCGCCGCGGUAAAACCAGCACCUCAAGUGGUCAGGAGGAUUAUUGGGCCUAAAGCAUCCGUAGCCGGCUCUGUAAGUUUUCGGUUAAAUCUAUAUGCUCAACGUAUAGGCUGCCGAAAAUACUGCACAGCUAGGGAAUGGGAGAGGUAGACGGUACUCGGUAGGAAGGGGUAAAAUCCUUUGAUCUAUCGAUGACCACCUGUGGCGAAGGCGGUCUACCAGAACAUGUUCGACGGUGAGGGAUGAAAGCUGGGGGAGCAAACCGGAUUAGAUACCCGGGUAGUCCCAGCUGUAAACGAUGCAGACUCGAUAAUGCAUUGGCACAUAGCCAGUGCAGUGUCGCAGGGAAGCCGUUAAGUCUGCCGCCUGGGAAGUACGUACGCAAGUAUGAAACUUAAAGGAAUUGGCGGGGGAGCACCACAAGGGGUGAAGCCUGCGGUUCAAUUGGAGUCAACGCCGGG